rnacentral:rRNA from 1 species
AUUGAACGCUGGCGGCAGGCCUAACACAUGCACGUCGAACGAGUGGCGGACGGGGGAGUAAUGUCUGGGAAACUGCCUGAGGGAGGGGGAUAACUACUGGAAACGGUAGCUAAUACCGCAUACCAUCAGAUGUGCCCAGAUGGGAUUAGCUAGUUGGUGGUGUAACGGCUCACCAAGGCGACGAUCCCUAGCUGGUCUGAGAGGAUGACCAGCCAUACUGGAACUGAGCCACGGUCCAGACUCCUACGUGACCGAGCAUUGGGGAAUAUUGCACAAUGGGCGCAAGCCUUAUGCAGCCAUGCCGAGUGUAUGACGCAGGCCUUCGGGUUGUAAAGUCCUUUCAGCGGGGAGGCGUUACCCGCAGAAGAAGCACCGGCUAACUCCGUGCCAGCAGCCGCGGUAAUUC